AUGUAUAGGUAUAACCCAGGGUCAUUUAAUUUCUUUUUAAGUGGGAUUCUUUUGGGACCAGGGAUGGUUUUUUUUUUUUUUUUUUUUUUUUUUUUUUUUUUUUUUAGUAUAAUAGAUCUAAAUUUAUACACUUGGCUACUCUUCCAGGACAGCCUGGUCCCCGACAUAAAUCAUCUCAUUUCAGUAGCUACAGAUUCAGAGCAAAUUGGAAUUGGCAAAAAAUGGAGAGAGUCUGUGGAAGGAUAAAUCCAAGGAUCUCAUAAUUACCAGAAACUCUGGGGAGAGCAGAAAGGGAAAAAG
rnacentral:lncRNA from 1 species